rnacentral:rRNA from 1 species
AGCGGGGAACGGGGGCGGAACACGCGUGCAACCUGCCCUUAUCAGGGGGAUAGCCUUUCCAAAGGGAAAGCAAUACCCCAUAAUAUAUCGAGUGGGAUCACUUGGGAUUGAAAACUCCUUGUGGAUAUAGAUGGGCCUGCGCCAGAUUAGAUAGUUGGUGAGGUAACGGCUCACCAAGGCUGCGAUCUUUAGGGGGCCUGAGAGGGUGAUCCCCCACACUGGUACUGAGACACGGACCAGACUCCUACGGGAGGCAGCAGUGAGGAAUAUUGGACAAUGGGUGCGACCCUGAUCCAGCCAUCCCGCGUGAAGGAUGACGGCCCUAUGGGUUGUAAACUUCUUUUGUAUAGGGAUAAACCUACCCUCUAGAAGUCUUGUGAAGGGACUAUACCACUAAGCACCGGCUAACUCCAUGUCUGCGGCCGCGGUCAUACGGAUGGUGAAGGCGUUAUCCGGAUUUAUUGUGUCUGAAGGGUCCGUAGGCGGAUCUGUAUUUUUAUGGCGAAAUCUCACACCUUAACUGUGACUCUGCCAUUGAUACUGCAGGUGUUGAGUGUUGUUGAAGUAGCUGAUAUAAGAAUUGCAGCGGUGAAAUGCAUAUAUAUUACUUACAACACCGAUUAGCGAUGGCAGGUUACUA